UACAGAGGUCUCAAGCGUUGUUCGGAUUCAUUGGGCGUAAAGGGUGUGUAGGUGGCGCGCUAAGUCGGGUGUGAAAUUUCGGAGCUUAACUCCGAAACUGCAUUCGAUACUGGCGUGCUUGAGGACUGGAGAGGAGACUGGAAUUCAUGGUGUAGCAGUGAAAUGCGUAGAUAUUACAAGGAACACCAAUGGCGAAGGCAGCUUGCUGGGCUACUCCUGACACUGAGGCGCGAAAGCGUGGGGAGCGAACAGG
rnacentral:rRNA from 1 species